UGGAUCCAGACUUUGAUUCUGGCUCAGGACGAACGCUGGCGGCGUGCCUAACACAUGCAAGUCGAGCGGGGAUGGCAAGGAGCUUGCUCUGAACUAUCCUAGCGGCGGACGGGUGAGUAACGCGUGAGCAACCUGCCUUUCACAGGGGGAUAACGCAUCGAAAGAUGUGCUAAUACCGCGUAAGACCACAGCGCCACAUGGCGCAGGGGUCAAAGGAGCAAUCCGGUGAGAGAUGGGCUCGCGUCCGAUUAGCUAGUUGGUGAGAUAACAGCCCACCAAGGCGACGAUCGGUAGCCGACCUGAGAGGGUGAUCGGCCACAUUGGAACUGAGAGACGGUCCAGACUCCUACGGGAGGCAGCAGUGGGGAAUAUUGGGCAAUGGGCGAAAGCCUGACCCAGCAACGCCGCGUGAGGGAAGAAGGGUUUCGGCUCGUAAACCUCUGUCCUAUGGGACGAAGGAAGUGACGGUACCAUAGGAGGAAGCCCCGGCUAACUACGUGCCAGCAGCCGCGGUAAUACGUAGGGGGCGAGCGUUGUCCGGAAUGAUUGGGCGUAAAGGGCGCGUAGGCGGCCUGCUAAGUCUGGAGUGAAAGUCCUGCUUUCAAGGUGGGAAUUGCUUUGGAUACUGGGAGGCUGGAGUGCAGGAGAGGAAAGCGGAAUUACCGGUGUAGCGGUGAAAUGCGUAGAGAUCGGUAGGAACACCAGUGGCGAAGGCGGCUUUCUGGACUGAGACUGACGCUGAGGCGCGAAAGCGUGGGGAGCAAACAGGAUUAGAUACCCUGGUAGUCCACGCGGUAAACGAUGAAUGCUAGGUGUAGGAGGUAUCGACCCCUCCUGUGCCGCAGUCAACACAAUAAGCAUUCCGCCUGGGGAGUACGGCCGCAAGGUUGCAACUCAAAUGAAUUGACGGA
rnacentral:rRNA from 1 species